rnacentral:sRNA from 1 species
UACUCGACUUAGAUUCCCUGUCUCGUAGCUCACUCGACCUCCGAGAAUCACUCGACCAUCCCUGCGCUUGCCGCAAUCGAGUACUCCUCCUCUUUCACCGUCGAAGUCUCAGAGUCUACUCGAUUACGACAACGGAACUCGACCACAAGCACUCGUUCGACCUCGAGAAUUCACUCGACCCCUGCAACAGUAACUCGACUUCUUGUUCUUGAAUUCAACAAAGCCUAUUGACAUUUGAGCUUUGAGUUCUAAAUUUCUACAGGGGAAUCAUGAGCAAUUACAGUGGCAGUUCUUCUGUUGAUCCCGACUACAACAUGGAUGAAACAGAGUCAUCAUCUUCAAGGCCAGAGAGAGAACAGAGAGAAUAUGAUAGCUUCAGAAGAAAAGCUGAGAUAGCCCGAGGGAAGAACAAACCCGAUGUAUUGCCUGGUGAGGAAUAUAUUAGGCUCUGCAAGCUGAAUGAGUUCUGUAGCACGAGGUAUCCUUGCUCGACCACACUUGCACAACUCGGAUUGUUGGAAGAUGUUCAGCACCUGUACCAGAGUUGUCAUCUGCACACUCUGAUGGCUUAUCCGUAUGUAGCAUAUGAAGAUGAGACAAUUCAAUUCCUCUCCACGCUGCUAGUGGAGCUCUACCAAGGUAUGACCUCUGAUGAGUUGGAUUGUGAAGGAUUGGGAUUCUUGCGAUUCUCUGUGUAUGGUCAUGAGUAUAGGUUAUCAAUCAAGCGUUUAGAAGGAUUGUUUGGCUUCCCCAGUGGAAUGGGAACUAAGCCCAAGUAUGACAGAGAAGAGUUGAAAGACUUGUGGAUCACUAUUGGCAGCUCUGUACCGCUGAAUUCUUCCAGGUCAAAGAGCAAUCAGAUACGCAGCCCUAUCAUCAGGUACUUCCAGCGUGCUAUAGCCAAUGUACUCUACUCCCGAGAGAUCACAGGGACUGUUACUAAUUCUGAUAUGGAGAUGAUCGCAAUGGCUCUCAAGGGAACUCUUCGCCAAACUAAGAAUGGCAUGUCUCUGCAAGGUGAAAUCAAUGACACACCUUUCUCUGUACUUCUUCUGAUCCAUCUGUGUGGAUACAAGAGCUGGGCCGUCAGCAAUAACCACAAGAGAGCACGAGGCGUUCUGUGCAUAGGCGGUGUUCUGACACCGAUUUUGAUCGCUUGUGGAGUCUCAAUCACUUUUAAUGGACUCGAGCCGCGAGCAAUGGAUAUCGAGCACCUACGUCACUGUGAAUUCCUGGAGUUCGCAAUGGUUAACGACUUGCACAGGUUCAGGUUUGAGCACUCUACAGAUAAGAGAGCUAGCAUCCUUCUCCCUAGCCCUGAGGUUAUACGGCUAAUAGAGGGAGAUAACAUUAAUUUUCGGCCUGAGGUUGGACGCCUCUACUAUGAGAACGCUCCUCCAUUGGAUGAAGAUGAUCUUCUAGAAGAGGUUGCUGAGGAUGGGAUGGAUGAAGACAGAGCAGUGGAGUUCGACACUAGCAUGUAUCACUUUGGUGAACAUGUGCCUCCAGCAAGAGAGAGCAAGAGCUUGAGUGAAGCUCAUAGGAAUAAUAGUAAACUGCAAAAGUGGUGCAAGAAUCAAGACAAGCUGCUUGCCAAGUGUUUUAAGACUAUCAAGUUCCUGACAGAUAAGCUGAGUUGUUCCUCCUCCACUACUGCUAUUCCACAGGGACAACCUCCUAUGGAGAUGCCAUCGAGGAGAUUUGAUGAGCCUUAGCACAGGCCUGAGCUUAGCGAGCAGAGAGUUUCACAUGUCCGGGCUAGGCAUUCGUCAUUUGAGUCGCGAGAGCACAAGAGAAGAAGGAAGGCUAUACUCACUCGAUCUAGCAGCAGAUCACGCCUCAUUCACUCGAGGAGAUCACUCGACCGCGGUGCUGUCCACAACAAAAGAAGGGAGGUCGAGAUUCCCAGAGCGGUGCUGGCCGCCAUAGAGCUGAUGAGGUCGAGUAACCACCUGGUGGAGCUGAUACGGAAUAAGUCGGUUCGUCUAUGGCCUGGGAGAAAUCACAGGGAGCCAUUGACGAGCAACUAAGUUCAUUCUUCAACUGAGGUAAGUGCCUCACUUCACCAUUGUAUUAUAUCAUCUGUUGUGAUUUGUUUCUUCAUUUUGUUUCUGUGAUUGGAUUUGUCCUGAGUACUCUCUUCCAAGUUUAUUCACACAGUUGACUGUGUGAUUUAAGUUUGGGGGUGGGCUCAGGAAGUGUGUGUUGCAUUGUAUAUAUUCUUGAGUCUGCAUUCAUCUAAGACAUAAAAAAACCAAAAAAAUUUGAAAAAUUUCAGAAAAUGAUUUCACAAAAAAAAAAAAGAGUGUUCAUGUAGUUGCAUUACAUUUAGGAUCGAGUCUAGAGUGUUUCAUUUAGGAUUAUUGCAUAUGCACAGGGGAUAAUGAUGAGAUAGCCUUGUAAGCACUUUGGUUCACCGGAUAAACUCAGUGCCCUCGUUGCUAGUUGUCUGUUGCGUAGUCAAUGAAUUUGAAAUAAAACUGAACCAUGCCUAGAUUGCUCUACUCGACCACACUGUCAUGAUCUUAUACCAUUCCCUAUCAAAUUGAACCUGAAUCUGAUCUUUAAUUAUCAUGUCUGCAUCAAAUUUGAACUCAUAGAUACCCUAAAAUACUUGGAUUUUCUUAUUCAUUUUGAUCACUCUUGUUAAUCCAAGUAGCUGACUCUCCUUAUUAGAGCAGUUAACCCAAACCCAAACCUAGACUUUCUUUUAAGCCCUAUAUCACUUGUGAGUGUUUGUGAGGUCUUAUUCCGAUUAAGCUUAGUAGA